GUCUUAUUGAUUAUAAUUUUAAGUCUAAUCUGCCCAAUGAGGUAUUAAAUGGCUGCAGUAUUUUAACUGUACAAAGGUAGCAUAAUAAUUAGUUUCUUAAUUAGGAACUGGAAUGAAUGAUUGGACGAGAUGAUAACUGUCUUUAUUUAAAUUUUAGAAUUUUAUUUUUAAGUUAAAAAGCUUAAAUUUUUUUAAAAGACGAGAAGACCCUAUAGAAUUUUAUAUUAUUUAAAUAUUUUAUUUUUAGAAUUUUAAUAUAGGAUUUUUUAAUGAGUAUUUAGUUGGGGUGAUUGAAAAAUUUAAUUAACUUUUUUUUAUUAAGUACAUUUAUUUAUGUUUAUUUGAUCCAAUUUUUAUUGAUUAUAAGAUUAAAUUACCUUAGGGAUAACAGCGUAAUUUUUUUAGAGAGUUCUAAUCGAUAAAAGAGAUUGCGACCUCGAUGUUGGAUUAAAGUUAAUUUUUAAUGCAGGAGUUAGAAUAUUAGGUCUGUUCGACCUUUGAAACUUUACAUGAUCUGAGUUUAAACCGGUGUGAGCCAGGUUGGAUUCUAUCUUUAAUAAGUUUAAAUAUUUUAGUACGAAAGGACCAAGUAUUUAUUAUAAUAAUUUAUUUAGGAAUAUUAUUA
rnacentral:rRNA from 1 species